rnacentral:rRNA from 1 species
CCUACUGGAGACAUCAUUGAGGUAUUUGGCACAAUGGGGGAAACCCUGAUGCAGCGACGCCGCGUGUGGUCCUCCUUUCCUCUUUCUUUUCCCCCCCUUUCCCCCUUUCCUCCGAUGACUGUACCUGGGGAGGAAGCUCCGGCUAACUACGUGCCAGCAGCCGCGGUAAUACGUAGGUGUCUAGCGUUGUCCUUAAUUACUGGGUGAAAGGUUAGUUUGUGCGGGAAUGAAAGUUGGGUGUCAAAUCUACCGGCUCAACCGGUAGCCGCACUCAAAACUGCAGUUCUUGAGUGAAGUAGAGGCAGGCGGAAUUCAUAGUGUAGCGGUGAAAUGCGUAGAUAUUAGGAGGAACACCAGUGGCGAAGGCGGCCUGCUGGGCUUUUAAUGACGCUGAGGCUCGAAAGUGGGGGGAGCAAACAGGAUUAGAGAAAAGGGUAGUC